rnacentral:rRNA from 1 species
GAUUGAAGUUUAAGUUAGUGGCGGACGGGGUGAGUAACGCGUGAGUAACCUGCCUUUCACAGGGGGGAUAACGUUGGAAACGAACGCUAAUACCGCAUGACACCACAGUAUCGCAGUGAUACCAUGGCAAAGGAGCAAUCCGCUGAUAGAUGGACUCGCGUCUGAUUAGAUAGUUGGUGAGGUAACGGGCUCACCAAGUCGACGAUCAGUAGCCGGACUGAGAGGUUGAUCGGCCACAUUGGGACUGAGACACGGGCCCCAGACUCCUACGGGGAGGUCAGCAGGUGGGGGAUAUUGCGCAAUGGGGGAAACCCUGACGCAGCAACGCCGCGUGAAGGAAGAAGGUCUUCGGAUUGUAAACUUUUGUCUUUUGGGACGAAAACUGACGGUACCAAAGGAGGAAGCCACGGCUAACUACGUG